rnacentral:rRNA from 1 species
GAUGAACGCUGGCGGCGUGCCUAAUACAUGCAAGUCGAACGCGAUAGUUUACUAUCGAGUGGCGAACGGGUGAGUAAGACAUAAGUAACCUGCCCUAGACAGGGGGAUAACUAUUGGAAACGAUAGCUAAGACCGCAUAGGUACUUUCUUCGCAUGAAGAGAGUAUUAAAAGUGCAUUAAAGCACUGGUAGAGGAUGGACUUAUGGCGCAUUAGCUAGUUGGUAAGGUAAAGGCUUACCAAGGCGACGAUGCGUAGCCGACCUGAGAGGGUGACCGGCCACACUGGGACUGAGACACGGCCCAGACUCCUACGGGAGGCAGCAGUAGGGAAUUUUCGGCAAUGGGGGGAACCCUGACCGAGCAACGCCGCGUGAAGGAAGAAGGUUUUCGGAUUGUAAACUUCUGUUAUAAAGGAAGAACGAUAUAUAUAGGAAAUGAUAUAUAAGUGACGGUACUUUAUGAGAAAGCCACGGCUAACUACGUGCCAGCCGCCGCAGUAACAC